rnacentral:rRNA from 1 species
UUCCGGUUGAUCCUGCCGGGCCCGACCGCUAUCGGGGUGGGACUAAGCCAUGGGAGUCGUGCGCCCCCGGACGCGGGGGCGCGGCGGACGGCUGAGUAACACGUGGCCAACCUACCCUCGGGACGGGGAUAACCCCGGGAAACUGGGGCUAAUCCCCGAUAGGCGAGGGGGCCUGGAACGGGUCCCUCGCCGAAAGGGCGCGCGGAGCUUCCCCGCGCGCCGCCCGAGGAUGGGGCUGCGGCCCAUCAGGUAGUUUGGCGGGGUAACGGCCCGCCAAGCCCGAUAACGGGUAGGGGCCCUGGGAGGGGGAGCCCCCAGAUGGGCACUGAGACAAGGGCCCCAGGCCCACGGGGCGGCACCAGGCGCCGAAACCUCCGGCCAUGCGGGCAACCUUGAACGGGGUCACCCCGAAGUGCCGCCGAUAAGGCGGCUGUUCCCCGCUGUAAAAAGGCGGGGGAAGUAAGCGGGGGGCAAGUCUGGUGUCAGCCGCCGCGGUAAUACCACCCCCGCGAGCGGUCGGGUUGCUUACUGGGCCUAAAGCGCCCGUAGCCGGCCCGGCAAGUCCUCCCCUAAAGCCCCGGGCUCAACCCGGGGAGUGGGGAGGAUACUGCCGGGCUAGGGGGCGGGAGAAGCCGACGGUACUCCCGGGGUAGGGGCGAAAUCCGAUAAUCCCGGGAGGAACACCAGUGGCGAAGGCGCUCGGCUGGAACGCGCCCGAAC